rnacentral:snoRNA from 1 species
GUGGAGGCUUAAGAAAGUGAAGCCAGUGAAGAAUGUGGCUCUCGCUGAUACACGCCUCCUAGAGAAAACAAGCAGUGAGAACAACUUUAUCUUCCAGGGAGAGGCUGGAGUGCACUGCUCCUGCUGACAUUC